GGGUUGUGAGGUUAAGCGACUAAGCGUACACGGUGGAUGCCCUGGCAGUCAGAGGCGAUGAAGGACGUGCUAAUCUGCGAUAAGCGCCGGUAAGGUGAUAUGAACCGUUAUAACCGGCGAUUUCCGAAUGGGGAAACCCAGUGUGAUUCGUCACACUAUCAUUAACUGAAUCCAUAGGUUAAUGAGGCGAACCGGGGGAACUGAAACAUCUAAGUACCCCGAGGAAAAGAAAUCAACCGAGAUUCCCCCAGUAGCGGCGAGC
rnacentral:rRNA from 4 species